UGUAAACAGAGGGUGCAUAAUAUUUCAGCUUGAAAAAGGGAGUUGCUGCAGCUUUGGUGUGAGAGUAGAUUUUAAUCUAUAAAUAUUAGGCUGUGACAGCUUGCCAGAACUUCUCCUGCAAGGACUUUCUGAUCAGGGUUUUUCAAAAGAGACUUCAUAAAAGCAGAAGUAGGAGCAGACUGAGUGACCCUACAGGUGCAAGCUGCAGCAGUUGUCUCUCCAGUCUCCCCAAUAGGAUUUGUGAAACUCUCUGCAUCUCAACAUCUUUAUUGUUACUGCUGUUUUUCAUCCAAAGGAGAGCCCAGUGCUUAAAGAACGAGGAAAGCAAGAAGAUAGAAAUCAUAUAUCCCAGAUGUUUCCAGGUAAUGACAGACAUCUGCCUUUAAGCUUUGAACUCCUACACUGCAUGGGGUGUUCAUAUUUACAUUUAGUGAUCUAAGUGCACCAUGACAGAUAAGCUUUAAACGCAGAAUACUUUGAUAAAGUCAUGCAAUCAGAGGCAGAAAUGUCAAAGCAAAUGAAGAUAUACAAUCAGGCACAGUAUUUCUAAUCACAUUCUAGCUUAGUGAUUCAGUAUGCUAGUAUGACUUCACUUUUCAUGCCUAGUUGUCCUUAAACUGUUUUAGCGAAGUCUGUGGACUUACUGAUGAGAGUCAGUUCAAGCUGGUGCAUCUCAAAAAAGUCAAAACUAAGAUAAUUAAAAAGUGUUACUGAUGAUCAUGAAUAGUAUUCUUACACCACCGCUUUGAGAGUGGUUAGCUCGUUGUGCUGCUGUGCUGAAUGCUGAACUCGAUGGGAUUUGCAGGUACUCAGUGAAAUUUAGGUCCAGAGAACCUGAAGGCUUAGCCUGCCAAGUGGGGAUGGCUUGCACUGGGAAGGAUGUGUCAAUUACCCCUCCGCCUAGCCUCGCUGUGAAAAGUUCCUCCUUCCAUUACAGAAAUGGCUCAGCUGCUCUGAGGCAGCUGCUGGAUUUUGCAAAUUGUACUGUGAUUUGUAAAGGUGAAUUGAUAGCACAGUAAUAUGCAAAGCCACAGCUUCGGCCAUUCAGCUAAGACAUGGGGAUCUCCACUGCAGACAGCCUGCAUCUGGAACUGCAGUUGUCACUGCGAAGUAAGCAGUGCAUGAAGCAGCUGCGAUUCAGAGCUGCCUUGGCCACGAGGAUCUGAACUCAGCAGCUUGUCAGGCUUGGUCUUGUGACUGGAUGCUGCCUCUGCAUUUCCUGGUAGCUUUCCUGUUUGAUCACUUCGUGGAAAACAGUGUCACUAUUUCCUGUCAGAGUGAAAAGUUGCUAAACCUGUCCAAAAAUUCAUUGUUUUUUCUCUUUUGAAUUGGUGCCUAAUAUUA